rnacentral:rRNA from 1 species
UACGUAGGCAGCGAGCGUUGUUCGGAAUUACUGGGCGUAAAGAGUGUGUAGGCGGUGUUCCCAGUCUGUUGUGAAAUCUCCCGGCUUAACUGGGAGGGUGCAGCGGAAACUAGAAUGCUAGAGGGUGGGAGAGGUAAGCGGAAUUCCUGGUGUAGCGGUGAAAUGCGUAGAUAUCAGGAGGAACACCUGUGGUGUAGACAGCUUACUGGACCACUUCUGACGCUGAGACACGAAAGCGUGGGGAGCAAACAGG